rnacentral:rRNA from 1 species
GACGAACGCUGGCGGCGUGCUUAACACAUGCAAGUCACGGGGGCCCGCAAGGGCAACCGGCGAACGGGUGCGUAACACGUGAGCAACCUGCCUUAGUGUGGGGGAUAGCCGGCCCAACGGCCGGGUAAUACCGCAUACGAUCAUUUGGGGGAGUCCCCGAAUGAGGAAACCUCCGGGGCACUAAGAGGGGCUCGCGGCCUAUCAGCUAGUUGGCGAGGUAACGGCUCACCAAGGCGACGACGGGUAGCUGGUCUGAGAGGAUGGCCAGCCACAUUGGGACUGAGAGACGGCCCAGACUCCUACGGGAGGCAGCAGUGGGGAAUCUUGCGCAAUGGCCGAAAGGCUGACGCAGCGACGCCGCGUGUGGGAUGAAGCAUUUCGGUGUGUAAACCACUGUUGCCCGGGACGAACAUCCUCUUUCGAGAGGACCGGGUGAGGAAGCACCGGCUAACUCCGUGCCAGCAGCCGCCGUAACAC